GUCAGAGAGCCGUGUGUCUCUACAGUCAGAGGUUUUUGUACGACGCCUCAAUCAGGUUGUAUCACUGUGGUGGACUUUUGGUGGAGGAACCAGACUGGAUGUUGGAAGUGAUGUCCGUCCCACCCUGACGGUGCUGCCCCCCUCCAGUGAGGAGCUGCAGCAGGGGAAGGCCACGCUCAUGUGCCUGGCCAACAAGGGCUUCCCCUCAGACUGGAGUCUGUCCUGGAAGGUGGACGGCAGCAGCAGCAGCAGCAGCAGCAUGAGCUGGGAGGAGAGCAGGAGCCCCGGGGUGCUGGAGAAGGACGGCCACUACAGCUGGAGCAGCACCCUGAGGCUCCCUGCAGACCAGUGGAGGAAGGUGGUCUCUGUGAGCUGUGAGGCCACCCAGGGCUCCCAGACUCCACUCUCAGAGACACUGAGGAGAGACCAGUGUUCCCAGUCCUGACUCACUCACUGGGACUCUCAUACUGGUCUGACUCUGUUACUGCUCUCUCUUUGCUCUCUCCAAUUCUCUCUUUUAUAUCUUUUUUCUUUGAAUUCAUUUUUCAGACCAAACAGAGAUUAUAACAGCCAUAUCUUCCUCUUCAUAAUGAUACAGUUCAUGUUUUCAUGCAAUA